GGCGUGAGCGUUCGCUGCACGGCUGAUGUGAUGAGCAACAAAUCUGCGUGUUCGUCUCCUGUCUGUUCCUUCGCGUCUCGCACACAGAAACCUGUCCGUCAGCGCCCUCGUGCACACCCUGGCCACCGACUUAGUGUCUGUCCUCUCCACGGCAGAGCAGUUUUCUAGGGCAAGAACUUUGGAACCAGACUGCCUUUAGGUCCCGCUGGGCUACUGGACAGUUACUGAACCUUCUUCAGGCCUCUGUUUCCUUGUUGGUAAAACGAAUGCAUGGCCCUGAGUUCUGAGAGAUGGAACCCGGUGUCACAAACCCGAGAGGCGUCUACACAGAACUCCAUUCACCAGCACUGAAGAUGCUGAGACGCAAGCAGCGGACAGGGCGGAGCGUGAAGGCGGGGUCUGCGGGAGACUGCGGCCCGCACACCCCGCCUUUGUGAAAUGAACGCGAAGUCCACACCGGAUGGACUCGACUGAAUGCGCUGUGCCCUGCGGUCCGCACAGUGACGCCGAGCGGCCACCCCAGCACCACGCGGCAGUGCGCUGUGCCUCUGCCGGUGCCGUUGCCACCAGCCCAUUCUUGGGCUGACUAAAUUUGAUUAAACUGUCAUCUG
rnacentral:lncRNA from 1 species